rnacentral:sRNA from 1 species
GAUCUUUGCUCUAAGAAAACCUGAUAUUGGCUGGCGCAGUGGCUCAUGCCUGUAAUUCCAGCACUUUGGGAGGCCAAGGUGGGAGGAUCACAUGAGGCCAGGAGUUCGAGACCAGCCUGGCCAACAUGGUGAAACUUCAUCUCUACAAAAAAUACAAAAAUUAGCUGGUCAUGGUGGUGCACAUCUGUAAUCACAGCUACUUGGAAGGCUGAAGCACAAGAAUCGCUGGAACCCAGGAGGUGGAGGCUGCAGUGAAUUGAGAUUACACCACUGCACUCCAGCCUGGGCAACAGAGCGAGAAAACCUGAUAUUGAGAGAAGAAUGUGGAUCUUACAGAUUCAGACAUGCCUGGGUUUGAAUUCUAGCUCCACCACCUACCAUCUGUACGAUCUUGGGCAAGUCCCGUCACCUGUGGGCCCCAUUUUGCACAUCCGUGCAAUGCAGCAGUGACACCUCCCUUGCAGGUGAUGCGUGAAGAAAUGCCCGGCACAGUGGGCCUCAUCAUUUCACAAACACGUAUACUGCUGACAUGGGAAGACAGAGCAGCAGCCCAAUAUACAUGGACUCCCUUUGCCCCUUGCCCUCCUCGAGUCUGUGCGGCUAGAAUUAAACUUAGCACAGUGGGCUGAGGGGCCCUGGAUGGGGUGGCUGCAUUGCUGGCCUGAGUGGAAGCCCUCUGCUUCCACCCCCAUGUGUCUCCGGAGCAGGGAGACGAGCACCCGAUUGGGAGGAGGAAACAAGGUUUCCAGCCUUGGCUUGGCCACACACUUGCUGAGUGCCCUUGAGUAAGUCACUUCACUUCUCUGGGCUUCAGUUUACCGUGGGUAAAGUGGGGUGCUGUAGAAGGACCUUUCCAACUCUGAUUUGACAACUCUGGGGCAUGGAGCUGGGGACUGCUCACAGGAAAGCCCAGCUGACUUUCCUUGGCUUGCUUCUGAGUGAGGGCAGUUGUGACUGCAGCAGGGAAGCUCUCCUGAACGCCUUGCUCUGGGAUGCAGUAAUGAUUACAGAGGGCUGGGGAGCAGGAGCUUGUGUCUCCACUUCAGAAAGGAGAGGCCUGAGGCUCGGAAAGGGCAAGUGACUUACCCAAAGCCAUCCAGCAUUGUUGUGGCGGGGCACCUGUCCCUUACCCAUAGCUGCUCUGAAGGGACUGCUGGGUGGGAGUUGCUGCGGUACCGUAGGGGAAAGCAGAAGGGUGGCAUGGGCUGGAACAAUCCAGAAAGACUUCCCAGAGAGCCUUGAAGGAUGAGAAAGAUUUGGAUUAGUACCUCUCAGAGUGGCUUUUGCAAAAUACUCAAGCUGGAGGCAGGAUAUGGUGAAGAAAAGUGGUUCUUGGGCUGGGUUCAGUGACUCACUCCUGUAAUCCCAGCACCCAAGGAUCUCUUGAGGCCAGGAGUUCAAGACCAGCUUAAACAGCAUAGUGAGACCCCAUGUCUACAAUAAAAUAAAAUAAAAUAAAAUAAAAUAAGUAAGCUGGGCACUGUGGCUCAUAACUGUAGUCUUAGCCACUCGAGAGGCUGAGAUGGGAGGAUCAUUCAAGUCCAGGAGUUUGAGGUUACAGUGAGCUGUGAUUGUACCAGUGCACUGCAGCCUAGGACAGAGUGAAACCCUGUUGAAAGGAAGGAAGAGAGAGAGAGCGGAAGGAAGGAGAGAAAGAGAGAGAGAAAGAGAGAAAGGAAGGAAGGAAAGGAAAGAAAGAGGGAAAGAGAAUGAAAGAAAGAAAAAAAGAAAGGAAAGAAAAAAGAAAGAGGGAAAGAAAGAAAAGCAGUUCUUGGUUCAAUAAGAUAGGGAAAUACUGUAUAAAACAAAAGGCAAGCAGGUGUAUUCACCAUAGGAUUUGACAGAGCCUUUAUUAUGCACAUGCGCGUUGUAUAACAGUCAGGGAGGGCGAGUGAGAAGCAUUCCCUAUGCUUAUUUGACCGUGGAACUCUUUCCUUGCAGAAUGUCUUGGGGACUAGUGUGCCUUUGGGAAACGCCGGUUUUGAGGAAGGAAUUGUUGCAGUUUUUUUUAUUUAGAAAGUGGCUACAGGGGUCCUUGUUAGUGGAGUAUGGGAUUCAAAGGGGUGGCAGAAAGAUGCAGUGGGCAGGGAAUCUCUCACUUCUUAGCUGUGUGGCCUUGGGCAAAUUUUAUUCCUUUCCUAAACCUCAGUUUCCUACUCUGAAACAGUCUCAAACAAGAUAAUGGGUAUGAAAGUCCUGAGUUAACUGAGAAUCACUGUGUUGCUGGAAAGCCCCUGGUCCACAAGCCAGAAUUUCCUUUACCUCAAUUCUGUCCCCUUCUUCCAUAUCUGCUUCCCUGGGCCUUCUCCCCUGGGCUAAUGCUGUCUCUUUGGCCCCACAGAAAGGAGGUGUGGCAUCAGGAUUCAAGCACGUGGUACCCAACGAGGUGGUGGUGCAGAGACUCUUCCAGGUCAAAGGGCGGCGUGUGGUCCGUGCCACCGAGGUACCUGUGUCCUGGGAGAGCUUCAACAAUGGCGACUGCUUCAUCCUGGACCUGGGCAACGUGAGUCCUGCUUUCCUCUUUCCCAGGAGCCACUGAGGUGCUCCUGGUCUGACCAGGGACUUGGGUACAUCCACGUGAACAAAUGCAUAGAUGCAGGUGGGCAAACCACAGGGUCCAGCAUUGUUCACGUACAGAUAUGUCUGUAUGCAAAGACUCCCACAAAUGUAGACUCACACCACGGGUAUAGUGCGUACUUGGACUUUGAUUGACAUAUAGACUUCCUGGCACCUUCUGUUCAUAUGUACAUCUUGUGUCCUUUUUCACAUGCUUAUAAAUAUAUAACAGUCAUGGGCAAACACUCUGGGCUUUUGCCCACCAGGUGUGCACAUGUGCACCAUCAUGAAUGCCCACACAUGUAUACUCGGGUAUGUUGUUUAAGGUCCCACAUGUGUAUGUCAUACAUGUAGUUGCACAUGCCCAUGAUCUAUGACAAUGUGUGUGGGAUGCCCUUACCCAGGCCCACCUUAUAGAUGUGUGACGCUUUGUACACACUUGUCUCACAAAUCCCUGUGAGCGCAGACCUGCAAAUGGACACGGCCCUUCUACCCCAAAGCUCAUAUGCUUAUACACCUGUGAUAUAAUGUCCGUGCAAACAUGAGCACACACUGAUUUACUGUAAGCUUUUUAUUAAAGCGUCAUAGGCACACAGAGGAGUGUGUGAAUCCUGAGUGUACAGCUUGAUGGAUUACACAGAGCGAACACACUCACGUAACACUGGAUCAUGAAGCAGAACCUCACCAGCCCCUAGAAGGCCCCUUUUGCCCCUUUCGGUGCCCUCACCCCAAGGGCAACCAUCAUCCUGAACUUUCUCAACAGCAUAGAUGAGUUUUGCCUGUUUCUGAACUUUAUAGACACGGAACCUUGUUCUUUUAUCUCUGACCUUUUGCUCAACAUUACAUUUCUGAGAUGCAUCCGUAUUGUUGCAUUUAGUUGUAGGUUGUUCAUUUUCCUUGCUGUGGAAGAUUCAGUUGUGUGGGUGUACCAUGAUUUAUGUAUCCUUUAUGUUGUUGAUGGGCACUUGAGGUGGCUUCUGGUUUGGGGCUAUUACAGACAGUGCUACUCUGAACAUUCUUGCACAAGUCUUUUGGUGGACAUACGAACGUACUUCUGUCAGGUAUUUUCCUAGAGGGAGGAUUGCUGGGUCAUAAGGAAAUAGGUAUAUUCGGCUUUAGUGGCUAUGGCCAAAUGGUUUUCCAAAAUGGUUGUGCCAAUUUAUAUUCCCUUCAGCAGGCAAACAUUUUUGCACACAUUCUAGAUGUAGUUGUACCUGUGAAAAAAAUUCCUGUCCUCAGACAUGCACUCCCAUCCCCUGGUGUGUGCAGAUCACACUUAAUUGUACGUAAAUAAUGCACGUGUGCAGACUGUGCCAGCCUUCACCUGGGCAAGUGCAGAACAGGGUGAGCCUGCACACCACAUGCCACACUCCCCAAGCCCUGUCGCUGGGCGGGGCUUAUAGGAAGGCGGGGCACUGACUUCCUGGGUCUCUGUCUUCCAGAACAUCCACCAGUGGUGUGGUUCCAACAGCAAUCGGUAUGAAAGACUGAAGGCCACACAGGUGUCCAAGGGCAUCCGGGACAACGAGCGGAGUGGCCGGGCCCGAGUGCACGUGUCUGAGGAGGGCGCUGAGCCCGAGGCGAUGCUCCAGGUGCCUGUGGGGUGCGCAAUGGGGUGGCCAUGGGGACACGCUGCUCAUGACUUUCUUCUGUUCAGUAGGCAAUUUGAGGUGAAUUUGAGGGAAAAAAAAAACUUCCGCUCUACCCCGCCUUUUUAUUUUUAAAAUACUUUUUUAUUUUAAUUUUUGAGACAGGAUCUUAUUCAUUGUUGCCUGAGCUGGAGUGCAGGGGUGCCAUCACAGCUCACUGCAGCCUUGACCUCCUGGGCUCAAGUGAUCCUCCUGCCUCAGCCUCCCGAGUAGCUGGGACCACAGGCGAGUGCUACCAAGCCAGGCUAACUUUUGAAUUUUUUGUAGGAAUGAAGUCUUGCCAUGUCGCUCAGGCUGGUCUCCAACUUCUGGGGUCAAACCAUCCACCUGCCUCAACCUCCCAAAAUGCUGGGAUUACAAGCAUGAGUCACCAUGCUGGCCCUGCCUCACUUUUGAGGCUGUUUUUCCAUCAAACCUGAUCACUUUAGGGAGCAAGGGAGAUCAGUUUCCUGCACAACUCCCAGACUCCUCUGAGAGGUGGGACUGGAACCCAAGGCUGUGCUGUGAGUGUGAGCCGCAUUCUCCAGUGGGGAGGGCCAGGUCCUCUGCAGAGCUAAGGAGGGCAGUCUCUUAGCAUCCCCAGAGGGCCAGCUUUGUGCUAGAAUAAGGUCAGAAAGAGACCACUGAGCCCCAAUCCCCUCUUGUCUCUUCUGACUAUUUCUGGUAGUUUUUGGCCCAUUUAGUCACAUGGUGGGAUUGCCAGCCAUUGUGCUUUGAGGACAUAUCAAUAGAGGCAAGAUUCACUAGGAAAAGGAGAAGACCAUGAGCUCUGCCCCAUGUCACUUGGUUCCUGCUUCUCUGGGGGCAUCCAAUUCCAGCUUUUGGAGAGAGCAGAAUGGUGAUUAUUAUUAUGGGAAGGGACCUGGACACCAACCAUGGCUUGGGAGGGACAGUGGGAGUGAAAAUAGGCUCUGAAGCCACAGGGAUGGAGGUUCAGAUUCUGGCUUAGCCACCUAAUAGCUGUGUGAGUAGGUGACUUCAUCUUUCUGGACCUCAGAUUCCUCUUCUGUAAAAUGAGAGUGAUAAUCUGUGCCUCCUGGCCUGGGUGCGAGGAUGCAGUGACAUCUUUUAAAGGUAGGCGGUAGAAGGUGUUCAGUAGCUAUAGUUAUCACAAUUAGCCCGUAGGCGAAAUAUCUGAAGUGCUGUCUGGAGGCAGAGGAGCAGGAGUGUUCUCCUGGAGUUUCUGAGUCAGGGAGACAAGGUGGAAGGGACCUCUGAUGGACAGAUCUGGACAUGUGAGCAGAUGCAGGAUGUGUCUGGAGGAGGUCAGACUCCAUGGGGAGGGUCACAGUGGAUGUCCUUGUGAUCCUUGCCUGCCUGGGAGCUAUCUCAGGAGCCUGGCCCCUCCCUCACAGCCACCCUUCCUCUCCAUCUCUCUAUCUCCUACAGGUGCUGGGCCCCAAGCCGGCUCUGCCUGCAGGUACCGAGGACACCGCCAAGGAGGAUGCGGCCAACCGCAAGCUGGCCAAGCUCUACAAGGUCUCCAAUGGUGCAGGGACCAUGUCCGUCUCCCUCGUGGCUGAUGAGAACCCCUUCGCCCAGGGGGCCCUGAAGUCAGAGGACUGCUUCAUCCUGGACCACGGCAAAGAUGGGAAAAUCUUUGUCUGGAAAGGUACUGGAGACAGGGAAAGGGUCCCAACUGGCCUGUAGGAUCUUGGAUGGGAUGUCCUGCAGCUCCCAGGAACUCAGCUCCCGGGGAGUGUGGAGUGUGCCUGGUGCAAUGGAAAUCAGAAGUCUUGGGCUGAGGCCUUGGUUUUGCAUUUGACAUACUGUGUGAUCUUGGGCACUUUACUUACCCUUUCUGGGCCUCAGAUUCCUGAUCUGGGCUGAAAUGAGUGUUUCCCAAGUGCAUUAUAACGUCAGUUCUCUGAGAGGCUAAUUGGCAUCCUGUAGAAAUUAUGUAGAAAACAUCUAACUGUAUGGUCAGAUAAAUUCAUGGGCAACAGUGGAUUUUAAAAUGUUCGAGUUUGUUUACUGUAGGACUUCUAACUUGUUCAUUUACAGGGGGGCUUUUCAUGAAGAUGAUCUGGUUUGGGAAAUGCUAAGCUAGAAGUUCAUAAACGCUUUCGGUACUAUCUUGUGGGAAUUCUCUUGGAAACCAUUGGCCCAGAUGUUUCUCAGAGGCCCUGAGAUGUUCUGAGAGGACCCAUCAAUAUCCUCCCCUGAUUCUCUGAGGCUCAUCUUGGGAAGAGGACAGAGGAGAGGGAGGCAGUAGGAGGACAGAGAGAAAGGGAGACGGUGGGGAGAAAGAGAGAGAGAGAGACACUAUUAUAAUUAUU